rnacentral:rRNA from 1 species
AUGAAUAUCGCCCUUCUAUCCCGCUGGCUCUGGCACAUCUUGCAAGGCCAUGGUGGCAUCUGGCUUGAAAUCAUCCAGAACAAGUACCUGUGUGGUCAGCCACUUGCCUUUUGUCAGAGAUCUGGUGGCUCGCAGUUCUGGCAGUCGGUCAUCCAGCUGCUCCCUGUCCUUCGCAUCGAGACAUCCAUCUCAGUGGGGUCCGGAUCGGCGACGCUGUUCUGGUUUGACAGAUGGGCUGGAGAUCCCCCCUUUGCUGCGCGCUUUCCCGACCUCUUCCUCAUCACAGUAGACCCCUUGAUCUCUAUUGAGAAGGCCCUUAUUGGCCUAGGGAGCCUUGCUUUUCGGAGACCUUUUGCCCCCCCGGAGUCCACCGCUUGGCGUGAGUUACUGGACUGUGUUGCUCUCGACGAGCCUAUGGUGGACAGUGGCCCAGACCAGGUGAGAUGGCGGCUCGAACCAUCGGGCCAAUUCUCCACCAAAUCUCUGUACCAGGCCAUCGCUCCCUCCUCCGCCCCUCCCCCCUUUCGAGUGUGGUCCAUCCGCCUGCCCCUGAAAAUCCAGAUCUUCAUGUGGUAG